rnacentral:rRNA from 1 species
UACGUAGGUGGCAAGCGUUGUCCGGAUUUAUUGGGCGUAAAGAGCUCGUAGGCGGUCUGUCGCGUCUGCUGUGAAAACUCAGGGCUUAACCCUGAGCUUGCAGUGGGUACGGGCAGACUAGAGUGCGGUAGGGGAGACUGGAAUUCCUGGUGUAGCGGUGAAAUGCGCAGAUAUCAGGAGGAACACCGGUGGCGAAGGCGGGUCUCUGGGCCGUAACUGACGCUGAGGAGCGAAAGCAUGGGGAGCGAACAGG